GGCAGCAGCUAAGAAUAUUCCGCAAUGGACGAAAGUCUGACGGAGCGACGCCGCGUGGAUGAUGAAGGCCGGAAGGUUGUAAAAUCCUUUUAUGACUGAGGAAUAAGGUGGAUGAGAGAAACGUCCGCUGGUGACUGUAGGUCAUGAAUAAGCAACGGCUAAUUACGUGCCAGCAGCCGCGGUAACACGUAAGUUGCGAGCGUUGUUCGGAAUUAUUGGGCGUAAAGGGCAUGUAGGCGGUUCUGCAAGUCUGGUGUGAAAUGCCGGGGCUCAACCCCGGAACUGCGUUGGAAACUGCGGAACUGGAGUCGCUGAGGGGCAGCCAGAAUUCCAGGUGUAGGGGUGAAAUCUGUAGAUAUCUGGAAGAAUACCAAUGGCGAAGGCAGGCUGCCAGCAGAUGACUGACGCUGAGGUGCGAAGGUGCGGGGAGCAAACAGGAUUAGAUACCCUGGUAGUCCGCACAGUCAACUAUGUACACUGGGUGUCCGUGCAUGAGCAUGGGUGCCGAAGCAAACGCGAUAAGUGUACCGCCUGGGGAGUAUGCCCGCAAGGGUGAAACUCAGAGGAAUUGACGG
rnacentral:rRNA from 1 species